rnacentral:rRNA from 1 species
ACAUGCGUAGCGUAGGUGGGAGGCGUUGAGCCCGGACUUUCGGGUCCGGGGGAGCCGGCGAUGAAACACCACCCUUGUCGUGCUUGAAUUCUAACCCGGUCCGGUGAACCCCGGCCGGGGACCGUGCUAAGUGGGCAGUUUGAUUGGGGCGAUCUCCUCCCAAACGGUAACGGAGGAGCCCAACGGUACCCUCAGCCCGGUCGGCAAUCGGGCAGCGAGCGUAAGCGUAGAAGGGUGCUUGACUGCGAGGCCGAUAGGCCGAGCAGGGGCGAAAGCCGGGGCUAGUGAUCCGG